GAAAUCCGUGGUGUAGCGGGUAUCACGUGUGCUUCACACGCGCAAGUCCCCGAUUCGAUCCUGGGCGGAAACU